rnacentral:rRNA from 1 species
GAUGAACGCUGGCGGCGUGCCUAAUACAUGCAAGUCGAGCGAACAGACGAGGAGCUUGCUCCUCUGACGUUAGCGGCGGACGGGUGAGUAACACGUGUAUAACCUACCUAUAAGACUGGGAUAACUUCGGGAAACCGGAGCUAAUACCGGAUAAUAUAUUGAACCGCAUGGUUCAAUAGUGAAAGACGGUUUUGCUGUCACUUAUAGAUGGAUCCGCGCCGCAUUAGCUAGUUGGUAAGGUAACGGCUUACCAAGGCGACGAGGCGUAGCCGACCUGAGAGGGUGAUCGGCCACACUGGAACUGAGACACGGUCCAGAGUCCUACGGGAGGCAGCAGUAGGGAAUCUUCCGCAAUGGGCGAAAGCCUGACGGAGCAACGCCGCGUGAGUGAUGAAGGUCUUCGGAUCGUAAAACUCUGUUAUUAGGGAAGAACAAAUGUGUAAGUAACUAUGCACGUCUUGACGGUACCUAAUCAGAAAGCCACGGCUAACUACGUG